rnacentral:ncRNA from 1 species
CCCGCUGAAUUUAAGCAUAUUAGUCAGGGAGGAAAAGAAACUAACGAGGAUUCCCUCAGUAAACGGCGAGUGAAGAGGGAAAGAGCCCAGCCGAAUCCCCGCCCCGCGGUGGGGCGGCGGGAGGUGUGGCGUACGGAAGCCCCCAUCCCCGGCGCCGCUCUCGGGGGCCCAAGUCCUUCUGAUCGAGGCCCAGCCCGCGGACGGUGUGAGGCCGGUAGCGGCCCCCGGCGCGCCGGGCCCGGGGCUUCUCGGAGUCGGGUUGCUUGGGAAUGCAGCCCAAAGCGGGUGGUAAACUCCAUCUAAGGCUAAAUACCGGCACGAGACCGAUAGCCAACAAGUACCGUAAGG